rnacentral:rRNA from 1 species
UACGAAGGGGGCUAGCGUUGUUCGGAAUUACUGGGCGUAAAGGGCGCGUAGGCGGCGUGUCAAGUCAGGCGUGAAAGCCCCGGGCUCAACCUGGGAACCGCGCUUGAGACUGGCAUGCUCGAGUUCGGGAGAGGAUGGUGGAAUUCCCAGUGUAGAGGUGAAAUUCGUAGAUAUUCGGAAGAACACCAGUGGCGAAGGCGACUUACUGGACACAUAUUGACGCUGAGGUGCGAAAGCGUGGGGAGCAAACAGG